UGUGGAUGAAAACAAUUAUAGCAAUUGAUGUUCUUCAAAAAUGUGUAUGGUGACUAACACGGGAAUUGCCCAGACUUCCACGGGUCUAAAGAACCCUAUAAAAGCACUGACCACCCCAUACUUCUCACACCGCUCCUCUUGGUUUCCUCUCCUCAGUGAUCUUGAUUUGCCUGCUACCCUUCCUCCACGGCACUAUGUCUUGCUGCUACAGAUACCCGUGCUACGCCUUGUGCUGUUCUCCCUGCUACAGGGCCGUCUGCUGCUCCCGGACCUACAGCUGCUGCAACCCCUGUUGCUAUCGGAGCCUCUACAGCUACCGGAGCAGGUACAACUCAUGCACCACCCGGUACUGCUACCCUACCUGCUGCAACUACAGCUACUCGUGCUGCUAUCCUUGCUGCUAAACCCACUGGCAAUAAUUGUGCAUCAAGAAUCAACGCUGACCCGGCAAGCAAAGACGGAUGGCUAAUCUCAGAGGCAACGUGCUGAGCCCCCCAUGACAGCAACAGAAGUGACUGAAAAUGGGGAGCUCAGCUGCUCUCUCAAAUUUCUAUGCAUUUCUAUUCCUUUUGCUCUUUCAGUUUCCUUUCCAUAUUUCUCAACUAUGAGCUCUCUCUUGAUACUGUACUGCAUUUAAACCCCCCUACACCCCUCUAGCAACGGGAACAACAAUCUACAGCUCAUUUGAAGCUUCUUACAGUUGAUUCAGCGGUGUUAAAGGACUUCUGCAAAAUUGGCUUUUGGAUCAUCUGCAUUUUCAAUAACUACUUCCAGUAAGGUACUACAGUACUGGGUAAUGGAAAAGUAUUACAGCUGUCUCUCCUUUGAUCUGGAUUUACAACUACUUAAAGGAUGAGCAACACAGCUCCGAAAAAAAAGGAACGUUCUGUACAGCAUAGUGCCAUGACUCACCUCUUGUAGUUCUUUCCAGUCUUCCCAAACUAUAAUCUUCCUGUAUCUGUGCCAACUUCUUUUCUUAUUGCAUUAAAACCUCUCUGCAUGAAAAACA